GGCAUGGUGGUGCAGUGGGUAGCACUAUUGCCUAACUAACAGAAGGUUAUGGGUUCAAAUCUAGCUUGAGGCCU